rnacentral:lncRNA from 1 species
AGAACAAUGGGCUGUUCGUACCAUACUGGAAAAUCGCCUAUACGUUUGUUGCCCAGGGAAUAGUGUUUGUUAUGUCCAAAUACCCCAUUAGUCGCGAAAUACCCAAACUCUUUUAAUAACUACGAACUAUUAUGGUUUUGCACUACGGGAGAAGUGAUGGUAAAUUGCAGCUUUCCACGCACAUUUUAAAUGAAAAUGUCGGAACGAUAAUGGACCGGGUAUAAACCGUAUCCGCUUUGUUCCGACGUGCCAUAAUUGGUGACGAAUUUAUGACAAUACACUUCAAGGGAAUUAGUUUUAAGCUUCCUUUGAUUAAACUUAAGGCGUUGUUGGAGUGGGCUUGUUGUUGUUGUUGCAGGUUGUAAGAAACAGAGGCCCCUGCUGGUUCGAACUCCAGGCCCAGUGUCGUCAGAUCUGACGGGUUUACCGGAACAAUUCAGUUAAAUCGUGAUCGCUGUGCCAAUUUACGCCAUGCACACACAAUAGUUAUAUUUGAACUUGUCAUCAAUCAUGUUUAGCCUUUGUUGUAAUUUCAGAAAUUUCAUUAUUUUCUUUUUCUUUUUCUUUUUUUUUUUCUUCUUUUUUUUCUGUUAUUUUUUUCGUAAUGUUUUAAUGGUCAAACUGACACAGAGUUUUCUGAAAUAUAUUGGUUAUAAUAUCUUCUGUAUUUGAUAGUGUGUAUGUGGGUGCGUGCGUACGUGUAUGUUAGUUUGUGUAUGUGUAUAUGUUUGCGUGUACGUUAUUUUGCGUACAUUUGAUCAUGUGUAUUUGUACCUGGGUGUGCUUACGUAAUUAAAUGUGUGCGUACGUGUGUGUGUGUAAUUUUUUGUAUUUUUUUGCCUUAAGAAAACAUACCCUGAAAAGGACAACCCCUGUUGUCCAGCUCUUUC